rnacentral:lncRNA from 1 species
GAGGGGUGGGCACGGGAGGAGGGUGGGGGUGUUUGAGUCACAGAUGCUCCUCUGAAUCUUAACGUUAGGGCGUUCAUUCUCCAGUGGGACCGGUUAUUGACUGCAGAGAAUGCAAACAAAAGGCACAGGUUGCAAAGAAAAAGACAAAGAUCCAGCACCCUGGAGGCUGAAGGGGUACCUUGGUCACAGCCGGGGCUGCUCCAGGGAUUCGGAGCCCUUGGCAUUGGACCUGGGCAGGGGGACUUGCCAUCGGUGGGCACACCAAGCCCUUCACGGAGAUGGCCUCGGACUGCUGGUACGUUUCAGAAAAGCCUCAAUAAGUUCAGGGAAAUGCUCGCUGCUGGAAAACCUGGAGGAGGUGAACUCUGGCCGUGCUUCCUUCCCUCCAGGAGGAGGCUGGCGCUCUCCGGGAUGGACUUCUCUGCCUCCGCCGUCCAUCUGCCUCCCUGGUCCCUGGUCAUCCCCCGACUUCUGAUCUCUCUCCCCAACCUUUUCCUCCGACGCCGGGUUUUCCGCCUUCUCGGGCCUGUUCCGUCUCCUGCCUGCUGCCAGCGGCUUCCUCGCCUCCGGAUAGAUUCCCAUUCCCCUUCUCUCGUGACCUCAGACAGGCCUGCAGGUCAGUCUGGGAGAGUUUGAGGUUUUAGUUGUGGUUUAAUGUCGGGUGAGGGAAGAACGCAUAUAUGCACAAGUGAACUAUUUCCUGCAAACGUGCGCAAUCAGAAAACAGCUACGGGGAGGACCCUGGGACGUGUCGCAUGUUUGCAGGGACAUUGAGACAUCACUAACGUGAGUCCCGGGUGCCAUGCGGGAUGCCCAAGUUACCGUCUCAUCACCGUCCCACUGUUUCCCAGAGCGGGUCCGGAGCACGGAACUCCUUCUUCUGGAACGCUUCUUCAGAGCCCGUGGCCUCCCUCCAGCGGUGCGUUGGGCACAGGCACUACUUGCCUCUUCCUUGGGGGCUGUAUUCAUGUUAGACACAGUGUCUGACGCCUUGCUUUCUGCAAAUCCUCUUACCUCUGCCCUUGGGUCACUGGACACAGGGAUUGUCAAAACGGAUGCCCUGUCCCUGGUUCCCGCUGCACUUAUCUGUGCUUUUGUUGGAGCCGCUGAGCAAGUCCCUCGGAGGCUGUCUUCCUCUGACCUCCCAGCCAUCCAAACUUUGGACGAGGUCUGCAGUGACCACGUGAUGCACGGACAGUAUUUGUGGGCCUCUCUCGUUUUCAUCUAUUCCAUUAAAGGAGCUGAAGGCUCAGCCGGCAAACCUCUACCAAAUUCUCAACUAAAAAGCGCAGAGCGUUUUACUGUAAUUAAGCUCGUGUUUGUUAUCAUGACUCAUAAUCCAGAAGCAGAUGGCUGCUUCUCCCUCUCAGUGCCACCUGCCGCCUCAGGACACAACGGCACCGCUGGGGCCAGCUGGGAUCCCUCCCCGUUUACUGCAACUAGAGUGUGUAUCCCAGGGCCACUUUGUCCUUGCCUCUGAGGUCUGUUAAGACCCCUCACACACACUCCCAGCCUCGCUCUCAGAGUCAAAGACACUCUUUCUUCCUCUAAAAUUAACUGCACUCCCAUCCCCCGACUCAAGGAAUGCCGCUAGCUCUCACAACAGCUAAAACCUCACUUAGUUCAGAGUACAGGUGCCCGGGCGUAGGGUUAUUACUCUUGUAGCGUUCAAGGCAGUCAGGCCCAUGGAGGCCAAGGAGCUCUAUGACGUAACAAGGUGAAUCUCAGUUUGUGUGUGUGGGGGGGGAACAAAACAAAACAAAAAAAUAGAAGCCCGUCCUCGUGGACUGAAUUGCAUUCCUUCAUACACCGGAUGUUGAGGCCCUCACUUCUAAGUGGGUGUUUUUGGAGAAAGGAGGCUUUGAAGAGGUAACCAGCGCUGAGUCAGGUUGUCAGGGCGGGGGCCUGAUCCACCAGGACUGCUGUGCUUAGAAGAGGAGGAAGCGACACCAACCGUGUCCACACCGAGAAAAGGCCAGGUGAGGACGCGGUGCGAAGGCGGCUGCCUAAGGGAUGUAGGGCCUCUGUGCCAGGGACAGAUCUGAUGACCGUGUGUGCAUUUCUGAAAUGCUACUUCACCGUUUUCAUCGUGUUUAAUGUUUUUACCUCCGCUUGAAUCUUUCAAUGAUUUAAGCUCUUGCAAAUUACGUAAGUCCUUAAAAAGACCCCGCAAGUGAACUGGCAGUUUGCUAGGCUGGGGUGAGCCCUUCGGUGUGGUACCAGGGAGUGGCUGCAGGAUGGCAGCUCCCUGCGAUGGAGACCUAGCUCCCUUGCCAGCCAUGGGAGGUCUCGCCCAUCUCUCAACCUAAGUUUUCGUUUCUCAUUUGUGAAAUAGGUAUAUUAUGGUAUCCACCUCAAAGGCUGCCGGAAAGACAAACUUUAAUUAUUAUUAAUUAUCUUAACUAAUUAUGAUUAAUUACAUUAACUACAAAUGCAUGAAUUACUAAUUAUUAUUCUAUUAUUAAUGGACAAAACACUGGAUCAUUUCCCAACCCUCAGUAAGUACUGUGUAGCAUUAGAAUAAAAAAAAAGUCCCCAGCGUGAAUGUCACAUGGGACUGUGGCUAAAGCUUAGCGCCGCGCUCCCGGGGCGGAGGCAGCGCUGAGGAUGGAGGACCUGGGCAGGCUCCCUGUCCUCCCAGGGGCUCAGCGGCAGCCGCGGGGCUCGCCCGCAUCACUCGGGUGCCAGUGUAACUUCCCUCCCGUCUCACAUCUGGGUUGGGGGGUGAAGGGCGAUUCUCUCUCAAAAUAGGGGGACAGUCCUUCCUCUGGGCUGAAUGAGGCCAAGCAGAGGACCAGGUCAGCAUGUAGGGCUGGGGACGAAAGGCAGAGCCCCCGGUUUCAGUCACCGUUGCUGCGUCUAGACUUUGUCCCUCCUGCUUUGCCGGACUGGCCUUAAUCUCAACCCUCAGAUGAAGAAGACGAAGGGAAAUGAAAAGAGAAGAAGAGAAGGAGAUUAAAGAAAAGGUGGCAUGGGACCCCUUGUUGUUUUUCGGAACAGCGGGUCUGAGCAGGGGUUGGCACCCAUCGGCCUCCCCCAAAGAACCUUCUGGAAGAACGCGGUUCCUUGGGGGGAACGAGGGGAAGGCAGCCUCAGGAGCCCUGCCCCCACCUUCCUCCCCAAGUCUCUUCUCUGAAUCCCAGUAAAGACUCAAAAACAUCACUGCAAGUCAACAAAUUCUCUGCCUGCAUAAGAAGCCGCGUUUCGCAGUUGAGCCCUGGGUCCAGUAGGGUCUGUGUGAAGCUCCUGAAAGCACCCAAGGACGUGGCCGGCCUCGGCUCCUCCCUGGGGAAAUGGGACCAGGCCCAGGCGACAUCUCCAGGGCCUACUGCAAGCACUGCGUUCUUCGGAAGCACCCAGGAGAGGGCCGUUUCAUGCCCAAAUCGAAGGCAGGCGGCCUGGCGUGUUACACCUGAACUGAUUCACACGGUGAGGGUCUGUGAACUCCCUGUGCCAGUUUUCUGAUUGGCUCUCUACAGCUCCUAAAUUAACCCCCGAAGAGCUAUUAGCCUCCUCAUUCCUGGGCUGCUGAAGGCAUCAGAUCUCUUCAUGUCUAAUUAUAGCAACACGAAGUCCAUCUGCGAAUGAGAUUCGUCAUAUAAAGUGUAUCAAAGUCAUGGCCAAGGGCUGCGGGGCACAUCCAUUUGCUUCCAUGAGUUUUAACAUUCAUGGGAUUAUUAGGUUAAAUUCAGCGCCAUGAACAAAGAACUGUCAUCAAACAGGCACCAACAAUUUACGUAAGGAAAAAGUUUCCAUUAUAAGAGACACUAAAUGUAUACAUUAAACUAGAAUCGCUGCGAAGAGAAAUCUUGUUAGUCAAGAACUAGCGCAUCCAGCUCAAGGCAAGUCACACUCUGGCUGGUCACCCAAGUGUGUGAGGGUGACUUUGUGAGCCUCUCAUCUUUGCUGGGGAUUAUUGCGAACGGCACGAAAGACCGUUUCUGUCUCAAGAUCAUGAACAAUAACAUCUGUUAUUCAUCCAUCAUCACAAUGAAACCUUUGUUUUCCGAAGAUGAAACGCCAAGAGAAAUGAUACUACAAUAGGUACAAUUUGUCUGCAGGCGAAAUUAUUUCCAGUCAAAUCAGCCACGGACAAAAAUUAUCUUGGCAAUAGAUCAGAAGGAAUUAUUUGCACAGUUAGGAGCAAAAUGCAAAAAUAACUUCUAAAAAUACACUCUUCUCUGCGUGCCUACCUUAUAUUAUUUUUCAAACGUAAUUGGAAUGAACAAAAUUGGGGUCCAGAGGAGUGGAAAUGCCUCUCUCAUUCACAGGUGCUCUUUCUCUCUUGGUUGGCUGCGAUUGCCAUCACACAAUAGCUCAGGGUGGUUGGCUUAAAUAACAGGCAUUUAUUUUCUUGCAGUUCUGCAAGCUUCAGGUCCAAGAUCAAGGUGCUGGCAGAUUUCAUUUCUCCUGAGGCCUUUCUCUUUGUCUUGCAGAUGGUAGCCUUUUGGCUGUGUCCUUACCUGGACUUUCCUCUAGGCGUGUGCAUCCUUGGUCCCGUUGUGUGUCCAGUCUCUUCUUUACAAAUUGUUUUUUAUUGAAAUAUAGUAGAUUUCCAAUGUUGUGCCACUUUCUGCCACAUGGCAAAGUGACCCGGAGUCCCUCUUACAAGGACACCCAUCCGAUUGGACUACGACCUUGUUUCAACAUAGUCACCUCUUUAAAGGCCCUGUCUUCAAAUACGGACAUCUUCUGAGGCAUUGGGGGUUAGAGGGUACUUCCACUUGUUACUUUUGGGAACACACAAUUCAGCCCACCACUCUGUCCUUCGUCCGUAUAUCUAUCCGUGUAUGGAUUCAUCCAUCUGCUAGUUUUUAAACCUAUAACUUUUAAAGUUGGAUACCUGUAAGAGGGAGAGUGGUUUUGAAAAUAAAAUGGGAGUUCCCGUCAUGGCGCAGUGGUUAACGAAUCCGACUAGGAACCAUGAGGUUGCGGGUUUGAUCCCUGCCCUUGCUCAGUGGGUUAACGAUCCGUCGUUGCCGUGAGCUGUGGUGUAGGUUGCAGACGCGGCUCGGAUCCCGAGUUGCUGUGGCUCUGGCGUAGGCCAGUGGCUACAGCUCUGAUUUGACCCCUAGCCUGGGAACCUCCAUAUGCCGCGGGAGCGGCCCAAAGAAAU